GGUAGCUCAGUCUGUAGAGCAUGAGGCUUGAAUCUCAGGGUCAUGGAUUCGAGUCCCAUGUUGGACA